GACAGAGGUUGCAAGCGUUGUUCGGAAUUACUGGGCAUAAAGCGCGCGUAGGCGGUCCGCUAAGUCAUGUGUGAAAUCCCCCGGCUCAACCGGGGAAUGGCGCCUGAUACUGGCGGACUCGAGAUCGGUAGGGGUGAGUGGAACUCCAGGUGGAGCGGUGAAAUGCGUAGAUAUCUGGAGGAACACCGGUGGCGAAAGCGACUCACUGGACCGACACUGACGCUGAGGCGCGAAAGCUAGGGUAGCAAACGGG
rnacentral:rRNA from 1 species